CAUAUAUUUUUAUUUCUUUUUUUUUGCGUUUGUCUUUUCUGGUUUUUUUCUUUCUCCG
rnacentral:ribozyme from 13 species